UCCUUGCUGGCUCAGUUGGUAAAGAAUCUGCCUGCAAUGCAGGAGACCCGGGUUCGAUUCCUGGGUGGAGAA
rnacentral:tRNA from 1 species